GACGAACGCUGGCGGCGUGCUUAACACAUGCAAGUCGUACGGUAAGGCCCUUUCGGGGGUACACGAGUGGCGAACGGGUGAGUAACACGUGAGUAACCUGCCCACAACUUUGGGAUAACGCUAGGAAACUGGUGCUAAUACUGGAUAUGUGCUCCUGCUGCAUGGUGGGGGUUGGAAAGCUCCGGCGGUUGUGGAUGGACUCGCGGCCUAUCAGCUUGUUGGUGGGGUAGUGGCCUACCAAGGCGGCGAAGGGUAGCCGGCCUGAGAGGGUGACCGGCCACAUUGGGACUGAGAUACGGCCCAGACUCCUACGGGAGGCAGCAGUGGGGAAUAUUGCACAAUGGGCGCAAGCCUGAUGCAGCAACGCCGCGUGCGGGAUGACGGCCUUCGGGUUGUAAACCGCUUUCAGCAGGGACGAAGCUUUUUGUGACGGUACCUGCAGAAGAAGCACCGGCUAACUACGUG
rnacentral:rRNA from 1 species